UGUAGAGGGAGGCAGAGUGACGAGAGUGAGGAUAAAUUAGAUGUGGUUGCAGGUGCAGUGAUGACUGUUGAGAAGAAGCUGAGUGUAGAGGGAGGCAGAGUGGCGAGAGUGAGGAUAAAUUAGAUGUGGUUGCAGGUACAGUGAUGACUGUUGAGAAGAAGCUG